GUGGGGAAUAUUGGGCAAUGGGCGAAAGCCUGACCCAGCAACGCCGCGUGAGGGAAGAAGGUUUUCGGAUUGUAAACCUCUGUCCUUGGUGACGAACACAAUGACGGUAGCCAAGGAGGAAGCCCCGGCUAACUACGUGCCAGCAGCCGCGGUAAUACGUAGGGGGCAAGCGUUGUCCGGAAUGACUGGGCGUAGAGGGCGUGUAGGCGGCCGAUUAAGUCUGGAGUGAAAGUCCUGCUUUCAAGGUGGGAAUUGCUUUGGAGACUGGUUGGCUUGAGUGCGGAAGAGGCAAGUGGAAUUCCCAGUGUAGCGGUGAAAUGCGUAGAGAUUGGGAGGAACACCAGUGGCGAAGGCGACUUGCUGGGCCGUAACUGACGCUGAGGCGCGAAAGCGUGGGGAGCGAACAGGAUUAGAAACCCGGGUAGUCC
rnacentral:rRNA from 1 species